GACGUAGGGCGCGAGCGUUGUCCGGAUUUAUUGGGCGUAAAGAGCUCGUAGGCGGCUUGUCGCGUCGUCCGUGAAAACCUGGGGCUCAACCCCAGGCUUGCGGUCGAUACGGGCAGGCUAGAGUUCGGUAGGGGAGACUGGAAUUCCUGGUGUAGCGGUGAAAUGCGCAGAUAUCAGGAGGAACACCGGUGGCGAAGGCGGGUCUCUGGGCCGAUACUGACGCUGAGGAGCGAAAGCGUGGGGAGCGGACAGG
rnacentral:rRNA from 1 species